CAUUAUUGCCAUACCAUCCUGAAUACAAUAUAUCUAGCCUGAUUUUGGAAGCUAAGCAGGAUCAGGCCUAUUUAGUGUACUUUGAAUGCUGUUGGCUAGUUAGAAUUGACAGUGUUGGGGUAGAUAGGC
rnacentral:rRNA from 1 species